UACAGAGGUCCCGAGCGUUGUUCGGAUUCACUGGGCGUAAAGGGUGCGCAGGUGGGUUGGCAAGUUCGAUGUGAAAGCCCCGGGCUUAACCCGGGAAUGGCAUUGGAAACUGCUGAUCUGGAGGAUCGGAGGGGGGGACUGGAAUUCUUGGUGUAGCAGUGAAAUGCGUAGAUAUCAAGAGGAACACCAGUGGCGAAGGCGAGUCCCUGGACGAUACCUGACACUGAGGCACGAAAGCUAGGGGAGCAAACAGG
rnacentral:rRNA from 1 species